rnacentral:tRNA from 1 species
GCCUCUGUAGCUCAGUGGUAGAGCACUCGCCUUGUAAGCGAGCGGUCAAGGGUUCAAAUCCGUUCGGAGGCU